rnacentral:tRNA from 2 species
GGAGGGGUGGCCGAGCGGCUUAAGGCGGUGGUCUUGAAAACCACUGGCCCGAAAGGGUCCGGGGGUUCGAAUCCCUCCCCCUCCG